rnacentral:tRNA from 1 species
GCCCUAGUAGCUUAAACAUAAAGCAUCGGUUUUGUAAUCCGAAGACCGGGGGUUAAACUCCCCCCUAGUGCC